rnacentral:RNase_P_RNA from 1 species
GAUAAAUGAUCGCUGCCAUCCGUACGAAAGGGGCUGGCAGAGGAAAGUCCGGGCUUCACAGGGCAGGAUGCCGGAUAACGUCCGGUGGAGGUGACUCCAAGGCUAGUGCAACAGAAAACAAACCGCCGCGCAAGCGGUAAGGGUGGAAUGGCAGUGUAAGAGACUCCCGCUUCCCCGGAGACGGGGAAGGCUGUGUAAACCCCAUCCGAAGCAAGACCGAACAGGAAGCCAUGAGCCGGCCCGGCUCGCUUCCAGGUGGGUCGCUUAAAGGAGUACGGCAACGUACUUUCAAGAUAGAUGAUCAUUCUCGACAGAACCCGGCUUACAGUCUCACUCGU